AGACUGUUUAAAAAUGUGAUGAGAAAGUAGGCUAAUGUAAUGAGUUUCUUAACUGAUAUUUGUUUGAAGGACUCAGUCAAGACUUGUAGAGAGAAAAAAACGCUAUUUGUCUUGAACCUCUGCGUCUGCGCUUCAGCUGAUCAACAAUGCCGCAUCUUUUCUCUGAUAUUCCAGACAAACUGCGUGUGAUAUUGUCACAGGCUGCAAAUAUAUUUCUAGUUAUUGUUAUGAUUUACAUUUUUCAGUACAUCUUUAAUUCUCAGUUUUCAUGCUCCUGCACAGAAAAGUUUCAUUAUAUUGUGGUCAUUUACAUUGGUCUCAUUCCUAUAUUAUUGUUUUUAAUUUUAAAACUGUUUAAACAAACCAGAACAAAAGUUAGUGGGGCCAUUUGCUAUGGUUUUUUGCCUCAAAUCUUCCAGCUUUUUGGAAUCACUCUGUUCUGGGGAGGAUUCAUCCUUUUAGAUGGAGACUUGUAUCUCUGUUUGGCUACCAAACAUAAUGACACACUGCGUGAACUUCCAUGCAAGAAGGAUCUCACUCUUCAUGAAAUGACCAUUAUUACAAUCUACAAAAACUGGUCACAGUUUUUUGGUUACAUCUGCAUAGCUGUUGGUUUCUUUGGAUGGUGGCUGAUAUCAAACACCAAGGUUGGGAUUUAUUGUGUCAGAUGUUCUUGUCAGUGUUUGAAGGACUGUUGCUGCAAGAGCUGUAACAACUCCCCCACCUGUCAGAGUUUGAAGGACUGCUGCUGCAAAAUUAAACCAUACUACGAGAGGCGGUAUGAGGAGCUUGUGUCUGUGGAAACGGAUAAACACCUGGACAAAAAAUUGCAAAAAAUAGCCAAAAAGAAAGCAAAAAGGAUAUGUUCAAAUUACAUUAAUGUUAUUGAAAAUAGUGAGUCUAACACAACCACACGAAUGUCUGAAGAGGCUAGGAUGGCUUUGUCUGAAAUAUCUCGCCCAAAUUUUUAUAGGCCUACAUCAGAUCUUUCUGAAAAUGUGAACAACGAGGGCACGUCUGUUUGAUAUAAUUUGUCGCAUUUGUAACAAUAAUUCAUCUAGAGGAUAGGCCUAUGUGUAUUUAUUUAUUUUUGAAAAGAAAGUCAUUAAAAAAAUCAAAAUUUGACAUUGUUUUCUGAAUUAAAUUCUAAAUCAUCCACUACAACAAGAAUAAACUAGUAUUGGGUGUUUCAUGCUACUAAUAAAUACAAAUUGAUUUCCACCCCACUUAGAAAGUAAUAUUUCAGUAAUCUGAUAAUCAGAAAGCAAAAACUUUCUGUUAAAGAAGCCUGUAUCAUUGAUAUUUUCUGUUUCUGCCUGACCAGAAGUGAGGGGGGACAGUGACUAAAGUAGUCAGGCGCAGAUGCUUAAUAGUUGCUAGUAAUUACAUAUGGCUCUACAAAAUAAAUCUUAGUCAAUGAUUGUAAAGAUUUAUUUAUUUAGCCAAAGAAAGCUGUCUAGUAUGGAGCACCAGUGUCUAUGCUUACACAGAAUAUGAGACAUUGUAUGACUGUGUGUGUAGCUACUUGAGACAUUGUAGCAACAAUUAAUCUACAGUAUAUGUGUAUAUCUCAUUUGUUUUCUGUACUUUCUGUCCUUCAUUAAAAAUCAAUUUCAAAGAUCAGUUUCUACCACAUUCUUCUUCAUACCACAGUCCAAACCCAAGUGCCUGUUUAUUUUUUUACUAUCACUCACUAUGUGGUUAUAUAAUUAUACUGUAACAUGAAAAACACAUACACUUCACAUAAAAUGAUGCAUUAUCAAACUGUUUUAAAACCACUAAAACAAACCAAACAUAAAAUUGUCAUCAUAUUGACAUAUUUGGAUUUCAAGAAGGUAAUUCAUUUUGAAAAAUACACUUCCACCAAAAAGUAUCUGGACUAAAAAUUAUUUAAGCCAAUCUUAAUGUCUGAAUCCCUUUGCAUUAUAUGUAUGUAUUGACAGCACAAGAACAAUUUUAAAGCAAAACAUUUCAUAGAAUUUUAUAUUUCAAAUAAACAGUGCACAAUGUUUGAUACCAUAGUGUGUCAUGAUGUAAUGAACUUUGAUCUGCUAGGACAUCUGUGUGAACUUUAAAAAGAAAAAAAACCAUA